rnacentral:lncRNA from 1 species
CUCGUGAUCUACCCUCCUCGGCUUCCCAAGACGCUGGGAUUACAGGUGUGAGCCACUGCGCCCGGCCUCUUUUUUUGGAAUUAGCUGUUAGCCCUUCCCAAGUUGUAUUCAUAGCUUAAAGCCUAUCUAAGCUUUUGCCAAGAACAUAAAGAUUUAAGCAAAACGGAAUGAUAACAGUAUUAUUCUGUUUAAGGCCGGGCAUGGUGGCUCACAUCUGUAAUCCCAGCACUUUAGGAGGCUGAGGUGAUUGGAUCAUCUGAGGUCAGGAGUUCCAGAUCAGCCUAGCCAACAUGGUGAAAUCCCAUCUCUACUAAAAUAUAAAAAUUAGCUGGGUGUGGUGGUGCAUGCCUGUAAUCCCAGCUACUCGGGAGGCUGAGGCGGGAGAAUGGCGUGAACCCAGGCGGCGGAGGCUGAGACAUGAGAAUCACUUGAAAAGGAGGCAGAGGUUGCAGUGAGCCAAGAUCGCGCCACUGCACUCCAGCUUGGGUGAGAGUGAGACUCUGUCUCAAAAAAGAAAAAAAAAAAGAAAAGAAAAAAGAAAAAAUUCUGCUUAUAGCAGUGUAAAGUUUUAAAAGAUGGCUUCACAUAGGCCUGGCACAGUGGCUCAUGCCUAUAAUCCCAGCACUUUGGGAGGCUGAGGCGAGUGGAUCACCUGAGGUCAGGAGUUCGAGACCAGGCUGACCAACAUGGUGAAACCCUGCAUCUACUAAAAAUACAAAAUUAGCUGGACAUGAUGGCGCAUGCCUGUAAUCCCAGAUAUUCGGGAGGCUGAGGCAGAAGAAUUGCUUGAACCAGGGAGGUGGAGAUUGCAGUAAGCCAAGAUCGUGCCAUUGCACUCCAGCCUGGACAAGAGUGAAACUCCAUCUAAAAAAAAAAAAUGGCUUCACAUAUAUUUGAUGCCAGGCUCAUUUGACCUUUAAGAAGAAAAACAGGAUGUAAUUACAGCAGAUUUUUUUCAGCUCUAUUUUGUGGAGAAGACAUUAAGGCUCACAGAGGUAAAGUCUCUUGCUCAGUAUCACAGAGUUAUCAAAUGGUAAAGCAAGAAUUUAAAUCAAGGUCUUUCAAGUAGUACAAUUUUUCUUACACACGAUUAAUUGAAAACCAUGAGGACUGUCCUUGGCCCACAGGAUUGGAUCUCCUUGCUGUGCUGACAGCUGGAUCUGUUCAUCAACUCACCACCUUUGUCCAGCCCCAUGACCUGGUCAAACCUCAGGCUAUCAAUGUGGUACAGCGGCUCCAGUACCCAGUAAAACCCAAAAUACAACAAAGGAGAACAGAAGAUGCAUGUAAUCUCGAUGUUUGAACGUUUGAAUGAUUGACUGAAAAGAAGACACAAACAAUUUCAAACAGUGUCUCUGGUACCAGGACAAACCAGGAACAUUCUGAUCCUAGAGUUGUUUAAACAAAGACUGGAGAGUACUGCCUUCUUUGGCGUACCAGAACCCACAGUAAAGUGGUAAAUUACUGUGUAACCAGAUGGGACCUUCAAGUCCAACACUAUCAAAUUAUAAAGAAGAAUUUCAGUAGCAGCUCGGAUUACAACCUCACUCACUCCACUGAGCCACUCUGAGUAUUGCAAAACACUUAUAGGAUGCAGGUAUUGCUAGGUCUGUUGUCGUCUGGAUGAUUAUAGCACAAGUGAAACAGAAGACUAAGAGAUUUGAAGGCGUUAAUGCUGGAAAUAGUGAUGGAUAGUCACUAUAUUUCUGAGCUAGGGAAGAAAAUGAGGCCAGAAGAUAAUUUGGAAACCAGGAGAACUGAGACAAGGUGGGUUUAAAUCAAGUUUAGCUUAAAGCUGCCUUCUCACAUGUUUAAGUUUGGCCUACAGGUUUUUCUGUACAUCAUGAACUGUAAAAAGUGGAGGUAUACAGCCCACAUCCGUGCCAAUCA